rnacentral:rRNA from 1 species
GUCGGUGACCUUACGUAGGAGGAAACACCUGAUCCCAUCCCGAACUCAGAAGUGAAGAUCCUGCGGCCAAUGAUACUGCACUGCGGGAAAGUAGGUGAUCGCCGACU